CAGAAUACCUAAUUGCUGCCACACUCUCACUAGCGGAAAGAUGAUUGAUCCUACCAGAUGCUACUGCUAUUGGGGUUCGAUUAUACACGCAAGUUGAACGAUUCCUCGGAAUCGUGGCGAACGGCACAGUAACACGUGGAUAACCUACUCCUUAGGACCGGUAUAACCAUGGGUAACUGGGGACAAUCCCUGAUAGGUGAUUUUUUCUGUAAUGAUUCUCUCAAUUUAAAUGCAUCUGGCGCCUGAGGAUGGGUCUGCGGCACAUUAGGUAGUUGGUAGGGUAAUGGCCUACCAAAUCGGUGAUCUGAACGGGUUGUGAGAUCUAUAUCCCGGAGAUUGGAACCUGAGGACAAGGUGUAAGGCCCUACGUGGGCGCUAUCAGGCGCGAAACCUCCGCAAUGCGAGAACUCCCGACCGGGGGACUCCCAGUUGCCACUCUUAACGGAGACAGGCUUUUCAUUAAGAUGUAACAUAAGCUUUUGAAAUCAUACAGUCUAGGGGCAUAUAUCUGUGACAGCCGCUCUCGGGUAAACCAGCGCAACUCUAAGUGGAUACCAUUUUUAUUGGGCAUACAACGUUUCGUUGCCAGGUUCAUUAAGCUUUGGGUGGAUAAUCGCUGUAUAACUUACAUUUGCGAUAUAUCGGUCAUCAUAUUUAAAUAGAAGUUGGGAAAACUUUUCAGGUACUCCAGCGAUACGGUAUAAACUCUUAAAUCCAGGGAGAAUACUAUGGUAUAAGUCGGCACUUGAACAAUUUAAAGCGAGACACCAACCCAGUCGCCUAACUCCAUAUUACCCGAGCAUCAUUCAAUUUCUAAUGGACAGUGUUCGCUUGUCUUAC
rnacentral:rRNA from 1 species